ensembl:lncRNA
CAUAUUUUAUAUGCAUAUUUUAUAUGCUUAUUUUAUAUGCCUAUCUUAUGUUUUUUCCAUUUUUUUACGUAGUAAUAUUUUUAUAAUUGAGUAUUAUAACGUCAUUUUAAAAAAAAAAAAAAAAAAAAAAAAAAAAAAACAGGACUUAGCUUUAUAAAUUUUAUGUUUUAAAUAUAAUGAAGUUUAUUUUUACUUUGUUCUAAUUUUAAAGUGAAAUUUAAUAUAAACAUUUUUAUAUUCCUACAAAUUUUAUAUAAUAUUUGUAACCUAUCUAUAUAUAUAUUCUUCUUUUAAUUCAAAAAGAUAUAAAACGUUUUUUUAAAAAAAAAAUAAUAAAACAAUAACUCUCAAAUGUUAAUCGAAAUUAGGAGGGUAAUUAAUAAAUGUUAAUUUCUUUUCUCUCCUUCUCCCCCCCCCCAAAAAAAAAAAAAAAAAAAAAAAAAAAAAANAAAAAAAAAAAAAAAAAAAAAAAAAAAACAAUGAAUAAUCUUUCAAUUAAUGAUGUUUUUGAUGACAUCGAAAUAGAAUCUUUUGAUUUUAUAUGGGAAGAAUGGGAAGAAUAUAAGGGAGACGUUCCUCUAUGGCAACAUAUAUGUUGUGGAAGUAUUGCAGGGUUGAUGGAACAUGUUUGUAUGUAUCCAUUAGAUACUCUUAAAACAUAUUACCAAACGAAUGGUCAUUUCAAAGGUGCAUUAACAAAUAACAGUAAAGCAAAUAAUUGUAAUAAUAGUAGUAAUAUUCAUAUGAAUAACAAACAGUUUAAUAUGAUCAAAGAAAAUCCUAACUUACUAAAUAUUGAUAAAAAAAAAAUGUGUUCUUUAAAUAAAAGCUGUAUUAACUGUAUAUAUAAUAAUGCAUGUUAUCGUAAUAAUAAUUAUCACAUGGGAGCAAUUCCGUUUUACAAUAAAAAAAAUUUCUAUGUUUCAAAUGUAUUUAAUAAUCUAAGAAAGCAACAACAAAAUAAUAAAAGAAACAAAUUGAGUGGUAGUAAUGGUAUAUAUUUGAAAAGAAAUGCGACAACAGAAGCUUGCGUAAUGAAUAGAAAAUUGGAAGAGACAAAGAGAAUACAUACAAUGGAUACAAAAAAUUUGAGAAAAAGAAAUAGUAACAAAAAUUAUAGUGUUAAAAACAAAUAUGUAAUGUCCAAAUAUAAAUGUGGAUCUUCAUCGAAUAUAGUAAAAAUGUCUAUAAAUUUAAAUAAAGAUUCAUCCAAAGUUUUUAAUAACAACUGUUACAUUAACAAAUGUCAAAAUAACAUAAAUAAUACUAUGCUAAUUGAUGAUAAUAAACAAAUGAUUUACAAACCAAUUUAUAACAGUUUAAAUGAUAGUAAAAAACAAGGGGGAAAUAGAAAAAGGAACAUUAUUUUAAAUAGUUCAAUUAAUAAGUUGUCAAAAAGAGUAAACAAUCAGUAUAGUACAAACAUAAACAAACGACUGCUAAAAAAGAAUUUACAUUUGUAUUUAGGCAGUUAUAAUGAGUUAAAGAACUCUCCAAAUGGAAUACCAAAUAAGGAUACAUUUAAAGGAAGAACUGCAGCAAAAGUUAAUUCAAAAAGGUAUAAAAAAGUAAAACAUUUACAACAAAUGGAUCAGUAUAAAUUUAUAAUAAAAAAUUUAAGAGUGCAAAAAUUAAAACACGCUAUACAAUUUAAUAAUAAACUGAAGUUACUACUUGAUAAGGUAGAUGCAAAUCAUUUAAACAUAUAUAAUAUUAUGAACACAAGAAAAAAUCGUAUGUUUUUAAUGAAUUCAAGUUUUUUAAAAGGUAAAUAUAUUCAAAAUGGGGAAAUAAAUUAUAAUAAUAGAUUUUUUUCGUCUAUUAAAAAUGUUCAUAUUUUAAAUAUAGUACAUAAUAUAAAAAAGAAUAUUGUUGAUAUAAUGAAUAAAUACUAUAAUAUAAAUAAUGAUAAUAAAAGGGUUAAAAAACAUGAAUAUUGUUUAAAUUUUAGUUGUAACAGAUAUGGAUAUAAAGUAAUUGGCCAUGGUGGAAGCAUGAUUAAUAGUGACAUAAAGGCUAGUAGUAGGAAUAUUAUCAGUAAUGACAGCACCUUUCGUUCGCCAAUAAAAGAACUCAUUGCGAGGAAUAACCUUUUUGAAAAAUUGCACAAACCCUAUUUGUUUAACACGAACAGUAAUACAAAUAAACUAAACCAGUUGUUUUAUUUUUUUAAAAAUAUAAAAAAGAAAAUAGUUUUUUCAAAUUAUGAUACUGUAAACAAAAAUUCGUAUUUCAAACCGAGUACGGGAUUAAAUAAAAAUAGAUAUUUAAAUAAUUUUUUAUUUUUACGAACGAACAAUUCUAUUUUUUUUAAUAAUAUAUUAUGGUAUGUUAAAAAAAAUAACAAUCUAAAAAAAGUAAAUUGGUUUGGUGAUAAAUAUGACAUUAGUAAAUCAUUAAUAAAUAAAUAUCAAACUGAGUUAAAUUCAAAUAAUAAAAUUACUUCACAGUUUAGUAAAUAUAUUCAAAACUUUAAUAGGUUUAAUUUGUUUCAAAAUAUUUUAUUUUUCAAUAUGAACGCGAACAAAAUGAAUUUAAUAAAGAGACAUAAUAGUACAUUAAUAAAAAAUAAUGUUACUAGUUUAUACAAAGGAGUAAAUGUUGUAGUAUUAGGUUGUAUUCCAGCUCACGCGUUGUACUUUUCAACAUUUGAAUAUAGUAAGAAAUAUUUUUCAGGGAAAAACUUACAUACAGCUACGGUUACUACUACAACUUCCAUUUCUACCAAUAAUAACAAAAUAGAUCGAACACACUACAAAAUAAAUGAUUUAAAUUAUUCGAGCAUAGCUAUAUGUGGUCUUUUAGCAACGCUUGCUCAUGAUUUAAUAAUUUCACCCGUAGAUACGAUAAAACAAAGACUACAAUUAGGAAUAAACAAGAACUCUAUUGAUUCGAUAAAACUAUUAAAGGAAUAUGGAAUUAAGAGUUUAUAUUUGAGUUUACCGAUAACACUACUUAUGAACGUGCCUUAUCAGAUUAUCAUGAUUUGUACCAAUGAAAAAAUGAAGAAGAUUUAUUUUGAAUAUGUAAACAGUUUAACCAGUAGUAAUGUCGGAGGUAAAAACGAUUGUUCUAAUAAAUAUAAUGAUAAAAACCAGAAGAUGUCGAAAAACAAUAGUAAACAAUCACUUCCA